UACUAGAUGAUGCGGAAGUGGAACACAAUCCCGAUCCCGAUCUUGUAACAACCCGGCUCCUGCUAAUGGCGGGAAUUCCUGUUCCGGUUCAUCCUCUUCGUCACGGUCUUGUAACACACAUAACUGUCCAAUACAUGGUAACUGGGGAGGCUGGGGAUCGUACGGAAGUUGUACGAAUUCCUGCGGAAGUGGAACCCAAAUUCGAUCCCGAUCAUGUAACAACCCAGCUCCGGCGUAUGGCGGAAAUUCCUGUUCCGGUUCAUCCUCCUCGUCACGGUCUUGUAACACACAUAACUGUCCAAUUCACGGCAACUGGGCGUCAUGGGGCGCGUGCACUGUGACGUGUGGCGGAGGAACUCAAGACAGAAGCCGCACUUGCACUAAUCCGGCGCCGUUAUACGGCGGAAACAAUUGCGCCGGAUCCGGAUCUGCUCGUCAGGCGUGCAACACGCACAACUGUCCAAUUGACGGAUUUUGGGCAUCGUGGGGAUCAUGGGAACCUGCACGGUGACCUGAGGCGGAGGGAUUCAGACCAAAACCCGCUCCUGUACAAAUCCAGCCCCACAAUAUGGCGGCAGUGACUGCACAACGGCAACACAGACCUGUAACACACACAACUGUCCAAUUGGCGGAUCUUGGGCUACUUGGGGAAGUUAUGGCGCAUGCACGGUGACAUGUGGCAGGGGAACACAAGAGAGACAGCGCACGUGCACUAACCCCGCUCCCCAGUACGGCGGGGCUAGCUGUCCCGGAAGUACCGUCUCUUCACAGAGCUGUAACACACAACACUGUCCGAUUGACGGAGUCUGGGCGACCUGGGGUGCCUAUGGUACAUGUACCUGCUCUGUAACCUGUGGGGGCGGGACACAGUCCAGAACGCGCACCUGCACAAAUCCCGCCCUUCAAUAUGGCGGCGCCUCCUGUCCCGGGACGGAAACGACGUCACAAGAUUGCAACACACAAAUCUGCAUCAUCGACGGAGCAUGGGGUGCGUGGGGAAACUGGGGAGAUUGUACAAAGUCGUGCGCAAGCGGAAGGAAGUCAAGGUCAAGAAUUUGCGACAACCCAAAACCGGCAAAUGGUGGCCUGGACUGUCCUGGCAGUUCCGGGGACUUUGAAUAUUGCAAUACACACGACUGUCCGACGGUACCCGCAGGGACGUAUCAACAGCUUUGUCCCAGUGGCUACUUUACGUGCGAGUCGGGGUCCAUGACUUGUAUCUACAACGCUUUUAAGUGCGACUGUUCCAAAGACUGCGAUGACGGAAGUGACGAAACAGCCGGAUAUGCCGGAUGCACAAACGUUGAGCAAUGCUUACUGGAGAAUGGAGCAGCUUCGAUUAAAUAAUGACUGUAC